CAAACAGAUUGCUACUUGUCUCAACUCAGUUUAUUAUUGAAUAGUACUUUCCCCAAUCAUUUAUAUUACUAUUCUGUCAUAUACUAAGAUUCUAAAUAUGGUGGAAUCUGUUUCUGGGUAAUCUAGUCUUUAUCUCUAUGCCUAGGCCAGUACUGUAGAGUUUUAUUUCCUAAAGCUUUAGAAUAAAUCUUGCUGUGUGAUAGGGCAAAUCUCUCCUCUUUAUUUUUAUUUUUCAGAAUUGUCUUCGGUUUUUAAAACCUUUACUCUUGCCUAUGAGUUUUAUUAUUAGUUAAAUUCCGGGCUGGGCACAGUGGCUCAUGCCAGUGAUCCCAGCACUUUGGGAGGCCAAGGUGGGCAGAUCACUGGAGGUAGGAGUUUGUGACCAGCCUUGUCAACAUAGUGAAAACCCCUUCUCUACUAAAAAUACAAAAAUUCACUGGGCUUUGUGGCACGUGCCUGUAAUCCCAGCUACUCAGGAGGCUGAGGCAGGAGAAUCACUUGAACCCAGGAGGCAGAGGUUGCAGUGAGCCAAGAUCACGCCAUUGCACUCCAGCCUGGGCGACAGAGUGAGACUCUGUCUCAAAAAAAAAAAAAAAAGUUCCACAAAAAAUCUUGUUGUGAUUUUGAUUGCUGUUAAAUGAAAUUAUAGUUUGGUGGCAAGUGAACAUUUUUAGCAUUGUUUUGUGAGAUGUUUAGCUUGUCAUUUAUUUAGAUUUUCUUUUUAAAAAUGUUACGUAAUGUUAAUUAUCACAAUUAAGAGAUAGGCACUAUAAUCUCCAGUAUAUAGAUUCUGUAGAAGAGCAAAUGACUAUAAGCCAAAGUCUGCCUGACUUUAGAGACCAUUUUGCCAGAUGUUAUUAUUUGUUCAAAAUAUUUUCUGCUCUUCUAGGAGAAUUACACUUUUUGCCCUAUCAGUAUAAGGCUAGGUCAUGUACUUUGCCAGGGCCAAUGAAAUGAGAGUAGAAGUAACAGUGUUGCUUUCCGGGAGAAGCUUUAGAAUCUCUGUAUAUUUCGCUGGUAGCUUCUUUUCCUUUACCAUAAAGUUAGGAUGUCUCAGAUGAGGGGGUGUCCUUCAGCCUGAGCCUUGCUUUGAUGUGGCUCUUGUUGGCUUUGCAUUCACUUGUGGUUCUGCAACCCCUUAACAGGCUUCUGGAGUUCUUACAAAGAUAAUUUGAUAUUGUUGUUAAGUUGGUUUUUCUGUGGGGGAAAUGAGAACCUGGGGCUUCCUAUCCCGCCAUCUUGCCGAUGUCAUUCCUAUUUAGAUCUUUUAUGUUAACACUUUUCAAUUCUUUUCAUUAUGGUCUUGGAUAUCUUCUGUUAUAGUUAUUUCUAUAGUCUUAUAGUUUUUGUUGCUAUUAUGAAUGGUAUUCAUUUUUUUCAACCCUACUGAAUUAAUCCCUUAUGAAUUUGGAUACUUUAUCUGUGGAUUCUUUUGGAUCCUCUAUAUGGGCACUUGAAACAUCUCUAAAUUAUGACAACUCCAUCUUUUCAAUCCUUAAAUGGCUUAAUUCUUCUCUUUUUUUUUUUUUUUGAGACAGAGUCUUACUCUGUUGCCCAGGCUGGAGUGCAGUGGUGCGAUGUCAGCUCACUGCAACCUCUACCUCCUGGGUUCAAGAGAUUUUCCUUCCUCAGCCUCCUGAGUAGCUGGGACUAUAGGCAUGUGCACCACAAUAGAGACAGAGUUUCAUUAUGUUGACCAGUCUGGUUUCGAACUCCUGACCUCAGGUGAUCUGCCUGUCUUGGCUUCCCAAACUGCUGGAAUUACUGGCAUGAGCUGCCAUGCCUGGCAUAUGGCUCAUUUCUUUUCCUUGUCAUAUUGUAUUGGGUAGAAUAGUACUAGUAUUAAAUAGAAUAGCAGGGGUAAUAUUAGGCAUCUGUGUCUUGCUUUCCUUAAAUAAGAUUAUUUAAAAACCUACCAUUGGCCAGGUGUGGUGGCUCAUGCCUGUUAUCCCAGCACCUUGGGAGGCUGAGGUGAGUGGGUCACGAAGUCAGGAGAUAGAGACCAUCCUGACCAAUAUGGUGAAAACCCGUCUCUACUGAAAAUACAAAAAUUAGCUGGCCAUGAUGGCACAUGCCCGUAGUUCCAGCUACUUGGGAGGCUGAGGUAGGAGAAUUGCUUGAGCUCGGGAGGCAGAGGUUGCAGUGAGCCGAGAUUGCACCACUGCACUCCAGCCUGGCGACAGAGUUAGACUCUGUCUCAAAAAUUAAAAUAAAAUAAAAGUCUACCAUUAAAGGCUGGAUGCAGUGGCUCAUGCCUAUAAACCAAGCACUUUGGGAGGUCCAGAUUGGAGGAUCAUUUGAGGCCAACAGUUUGACACUAGCCUGGUCAACAUAGCAAGACCCCCAUCUCUUAAAAGAAAAAAAAUAUUAUUACGUAUAUUUGCAAUAGUUAUUGUACCUGCUUCUUGUUAAGUUUAGGAAAUUCUCUUCUAUCCCUAAUUUGCCUGCAGUGUUUGUUAUGAAUGAGUGCUGUAUUUUCUAAAAUGUUCUUUCUGGGCCAGGCACAGUGACUCAUGCAGGUAAUCCCAGCACUUUGGGAGGCCAAGACGGGAGGAUCACUUGAUGCUGGGAGUAUAAGACCAGCCUGGGCAGAAUGGCAAGGCCCAGUCUCUACAAAAAAACAAAACAAAAAUUAGCUGGGCAUGGUAGUUUGCACCUAUAGUGUCCCAGCUUCUUGGGAGCUUGGGACAGAAGGAUCAUUUGGGCCCAAGAAGUGGAGGCUGCAAUGAGUCAGAACUGUGCCACUGAAUUCCAGCCUGGGCAACAGAGCAAGACUCUGGCUCAAAAAAAAAAAAUGUAUAUAUAUAUCUUUGGCUGGGCAUGGUGGCUUAACGCCUAUAAUUCCAACAAUUUGGGAGGAUUGCUUAAGUCCAGGAGUUCAAGACCAGCUUGGGCAACAUAGUGAGAACCCAUUUCUACUUAUAAGGAAAAAAAAGUGCCCUUUUAGCUCUCUGAGCAGCACCAUGGUGGUUGGCAAGAACAAGCGCCUUACGAAAGGUGGCAAACAGGGAGCCAAGAAGAAAGUGGUUGAUCCAUUUUCUAAGAAAGAUUGGUAUGAUGUGAAAGCACCCGCUAUGUUCAACAUAAGAAAUAUUGGAAAGACGCUAGUCACCAGGACCCAAGGAACCAAAAUUGCAUCUGAUGGCCUCAAGGGUCGAGUGUUUGAAGUUAGUCUUGCUGAUUUGCAGAAUGAUGAAGUUGCAUUUAGGAAAUUCAGGCUGAUUACUGAAGAUGUUCAGGGCAAAAACUGCCUGACUAACUUCCAUGGUAUGGAUCUGACCCGUGACAAAAUGUGUUCCAUGGUCAAAAAAAUGGCAGACAAUGAUUGAAGCUCAUGUUGAUGUCAAGACUACCGAUGGUUACUUGCUUCAUCUGUUCUGUGUUGGUUUUACUAAAAAACGCCACAAUCAGAUACAGAAGACCUCUCAUGCUCAGCACCAACAGGUCCGCCAAAUCCGGAAGAAGAUGAUGGAAAUCAUGACCCGAGAGGUGCAGACAAAUGACUUGAAAGAAGUGGUCAGUAAAUUGAUUCCAGACAGCAUUGGGAAAGACAUAGAACAGGCUUGCCAAUCUAUUUAUCCUCUCCAUGAUGUCUUCGUUAGAAAAGUAAAAAUGCUGAAGAAGCCCAAGUUUGAAUUGGGAAAACUCAUGGAGCUUCAUGGUGAAGGUAGUUCUGGAAAAGCCACUGGGGAUGAGACAGGUGCUAAAGUUGAACAAGCUGAUGGAUAUGAACCACCAGUCCAAGAAUCUGUUUAAAGUUCAGACUUACAAUAGUGGCAAAUAAAAUGUCUUAUUUGUG